AUCCAAAGCUGUGCGGUGGUUGCAGACAUAGAGGUUUCCUGGGGUUCCAGGAGAUGGGGCAGGAGGUCGUGUGCCGCGGAUAACCAGGUGGAUGCCUAGCAUCUCGUAUGUGUAGCGUACGAUGAGUUCUGGGAGUGGGAGAUUGAAGUAAACGCGAAGGAGGGAGAGGAUGAAACCAAACGGCAGCCAAAUAUAGGUAAUAAGGGCAUUGAGAGGGUCAGGUCGCUGAACGAGGCGGCCUUCAUGGAAGAUUAUACGACUUUUGAGGCGAUCCGGUGGCACUGGAGUUGCUGAUUUGCUACGACGGAGCUGGUAGCCCUCCUUGCAAAUGGACAUGAAAGCAUGAUCGGUCUUGCGGUCACCAAGCCCAAGAUCCGGUACUUUCCCUCCAAACUCUUUCAAAAUGGCCAACUUCUUCCUUUUGCCCACCAACACGCCUGGCCUCUUCACAAAUCCGGUGGCCCUCUUAGUCUUGGUUACUUCGAUUUCUGUACCCAGAACCUUGUCUCCUCCAAGAAAUUCCUUCACAAAUGGCUCCACCAUUAUCCUCGGACUCGCCGUCACCACCACCUUCCGCUUGCACCUAUCAAAAACCUCAUAGCUCUCCUUCCUCACAUCCGCAGCAUAA
rnacentral:misc_RNA from 1 species